rnacentral:lncRNA from 1 species
CAGCAGAGGGGUAAGUUGUAGCUGCUAUAGUUUCUCUGGUAUAAUGGUAGAUCCUCAAGGAUUCGCCACUGAGGAAUCAGAUUUUAAUAAGGCUUACAAGAUUAGGUUUCAGUUGUUGCACCCAGAGAUUGAGUUACCAUUGUUUCUGAAUUAGGUUUGUGUUGCAUUUGUUUCUGAAUUAGGUUUGUGUUGCAUUUUCCUUCAUGCAGCGGAUCAUCCGGGUUAAAGAGAGAAAGAUACAGUGGUCAAGCAUGGGUUUGCCUAAGGUGUACCACAAAGGCCUUGAGGGAUUUGAAGCAUGAGGUUGGCUUGGUAACAACUCGCCAGGGUAACCUAGCGAGCUGGGUGGAGAGAUUGUGGACUUAAGAGUCAGAAUAACCACGAGAAAAAAAUCAGUGCAUGGCUGGCCAUGCAGCUGGGGCAGCGGCACAACAGCAGGGACAAGAUGGUUCUCUCUCUCCCUCUCUCUCUCUCUCUCUCUCUCUCUCACACAUUUCCCUCAACAGAAAGGAAAGGAAAGAGAAACAAAAAGAAAAGAACAUUACUUUCUGCAUGCUAUAAGCAGCAUCGAAGAAAUUUGCCUGGAGAUUUUCAGUAGUUUAUAUGGUAAUUUCCAGAACCACUGUUCCUCUACACUGUACAAAGUAUGAACAUACUGAUCUCUUCAAGGUGUCAGUGUAGUCCCAGUUGAAAUCAGUUUAUUUCUGGUGUGUGCGCGCACUCACACGUGUAUGUAUGUGUGUAUAUACAUUAAUAUGAAGAGACCAGGGGUGGGCUUUACUUUUUCAAACAGGAUUUGUCACUGAGCCUUGAGCUCACCAGCUGUUUGGAUUAACUGGACAGAGAGCCCCUGGGAUCUCCAAUUCCUGGUCUCCAAUUCUCAACGCUGAGAUUACAGGCCCACGACACCAUUCCUGGCUUCUUAGAGAUGCCCACUAAGCCAUCUCUCUCCAACUCCUGUCGUUUGAAAAAGAUUUAUUUAUUUAUUUUAUGUAUGUGAGUAUACUGUUGCUCUCUUCAGACACACUAGAAGAGGGCGUUGGUUCCCAUUACAGAUGGUUGUGAGCCACCAAGUGGUUGCUGGGAAUUGAACUGAGAACCUUUGAAAGAGCACUCAGUGCUCUUAACCACUGAGCCAUCUCCCCUGUCCCUCUAUUUCUUUAAAUAAAAUCUAUAGCUCGUUGGUAGAUGUUUCAACCACAGAAUGUGACAUACUUUCCUUAUUGCUUGUGUUCUCAUUUCUGUCUCUCUGUUAUCAAGUUUUCUGUACAGUUCAUCUUAUUUCCCAUGAUAAAUUCAUGUUUCAAAAGAUUUUAGAAAUUCUUCUUUUUGUCAACUUGAAUUCACAAUAUUUGUAUUUUUAUCUCUAUAUAACUGUAGACUUUGUAGAUGAAAAUAUUCUGUGACAGUGUCUAGAGGCAGUCCUUACCCCUUGGCUUAUGACCCCUGUCUUACAUUUUCAAAGCCAGUAGCACCUGCUCCAGGUUGAGUGCUGACCACAGUAACUAUGCUCCCUUGCUUUCGUCCCCCUUCUCUCCCUCAGGAAACUUUGGUUACAUGAGCCAACCUAGAUGAUUCAGGGGAACCUUCAGUGCUGUAGAACCUUUAACUUAGCGUAUCUCCAAAGACCCUAUUGUCCUGGAAUGAGAUGUGUUUAGAGACUCGGGAGUGGGGAAGAAGAUGAUUUCAACACUGUUCUGCCUGUCACAGAGAUAAUGUGAAUGAAGUGGCAAGCAGAGCAUUGUUAUACAAAAGAAGUCGGAUUCUUUUCAUAUCAAUAAGGGCUAUGCACAAUGAAUGGGGGAAGUGGAUAAGGGUGCCAGCCCUAACCAACAAGCUGUCUGUAAUUGAUAUCCUCUGGCAAAGGGAAAAUCAUUUUUCUCCAAUGGCAUGCCACUGGAUACAUUAACCACAUUCUAGGGCUAGUCCCAUGAUUAGGAAUAGUUGGCCAACACAAAAUGAACUCAGUGAUAUUUUUCUGGACUUUUUCAUAUAUAUAUACACACACACACAU